rnacentral:rRNA from 1 species
UACGUAGGGUGCGAGCGUUAAUCGGAAUUACUGGGCGUAAAGUGUGCGCAGGCGGCCGCGCAAGUCGAGUGUGAAAUCCCCGAGCUUAACUUGGGAAUUGCGCUCGAAACUACGUGGCUGGAGUAUGGCAGAGGAAGGUGGAAUUCCACGUGUAGCGGUGAAAUGCGUAGAGAUGUGGAGGAACACCGAUGGCGAAGGCAGCCUUCUGGGCCAAUACUGACGCUCAUGCACGAAAGCGUGGGGAGCAAACAGG